AUUGAACGCUGGCGGCAGGCUUAACACAUGCAAGUCGAGCGGGGGAAGGUAGCUUGCUACCGGACCUAGCGGCGGACGGGUGAGUAAUGCUUAGGAAUCUGCCUAUUAGUGGGGGACAACAUCUCGAAAGGGAUGCUAAUACCGCAUACGUCCUACGGGAGAAAGCUGGGGAUCUUCGGACCUUGCGCUAAUAGAUGAGCCUAAGUCGGAUUAGCUAGUUGGUGGGGUAAAGGCCUACCAAGGCGACGAUCUGUAGCGGGUCUGAGAGGAUGGUCCGCCACACUGGGACUGAGACACGGCCCAGACUCCUACGGGAGGCAGCAGUGGGGAAUAUUGGACAAUGGGGGGAACCCUGAUCCAGCCAUGCCGCGUGUGUGAAGAAGGCCUUAUGGUUGUAAAGCACUUUAAGCGAGGAGGAGGCUACUCUAGUUAAUACCUAGGGAUAGUGGACGUUACUCGCAGAAUAAGCACCGGCUAACUCUGUGCCAGCCGCCGCGGUAA
rnacentral:rRNA from 1 species